rnacentral:rRNA from 1 species
CCCGAGGGGCACCUACAGCCAGCCGCGUUUAUGAAGAAGGCCUUCGGGUUGUAAAGUACUUUCAGCGGGGAAGGAAGGGAGUAAAGUUAAUACCUUUGCUCAUUGACGUUACCCGCAGAAGAAGCACCGGCUAACUCCGUGCCAGCAGCCGCGGUAAUACGGAGGGUGCAAGCGUUAAUCGGAAUUACUGGGCGUAAAGCGCACGCAGGCGGUUUGUUAAGUCAGAUGUGAAAUCCCCGGGCUCAACCUGGGAACUGCAUCUGAUACUGGCAAGCUUGAGUCUCGUAGAGGGGGGUAGAAUUCCAGGUGUAGCGGUGAAAUGCGUAGAGAUCUGGAGGAAUACCGGUGGCGAAGGCGGCCCCCUGGACGAAGACUGACGCUCAGGUGCGAAAGCGUGGGGAGCAAACAGGAUUAGAUACCCCCGGUGAUU